rnacentral:snRNA from 1 species
GUACUUACCUGGCGCUGGGACUACCCUGAUCAAUUAGGGGGUGUCCCCAGGAAGAGGCGCGGCCAUUGCACCUCGGCCGUGCUGACGCCUGCCACUAUCCCAAACUGGGACAGAUGGGGCAUGCAAUUUGUAUCAUUUGCCAA